rnacentral:rRNA from 1 species
GAGAAUCCCGUCUUUGGCAUGGACUCCCRAUGCUUUUGUAAGGCGCUCUCAAAGAGUCGAGUWGUUUGGGAAUGCAGCUCAAAAUGGGUGGUGAACUCCAUCUAAAGCUAAAUAUUGGCGAGAGACCGAUAGCGAACAAGUACCGUGAGGGAAAGAUGAAAAGCACUUUGGAAAGAGAGUGAAACAGUACGUGAAAUUGUUGAAAGGGAAACACUUGAAGUCAGUCGCGUUAACCGAGACUCAGCCUUGCCUCGGCUUGGUGUACUUCUUGAUUGACGGGCCAGCAUCAAUUUUGUCCUUUGGAUAAUGGCAGGGGAAAGGUGGCACCCUUAUGGGUGUGUUAUAGUCUCCUGUCGCAUGCGAGGGGUGGGAUUGAGGAACUCAGCACGYGCCUUCGGGUGUCGGGGCUUCGGCUCACGUUACGUGCUUAGGAUGUUGGCGUAAUGGCUUUAAAUGACCCGUCUUGAAACACGGACCAAGGAGUCUAACAUGCCCGCGAGUGUUCGGGUGGAAAACCCGUACGCGUAAUGAAAGUGAAAGUUGGGACCUCUGUCGUGGAGGGCACCGACGCCCGGACCAGACCUUCUGUGACGGAUCUGCGGUAGAGCGUGCAUGUUGGGACCCGAAAGAUGGUGAACUAUGCCUGAAUAGGGUGAAGCCAGAGGAAACUCUGGUGGAGGCUCGUAGCGAUUCUGACGUGCAAAUCGAUCGUCAAAUUUGGGUAUAGGG